AUGUAGUAGCGAAACGAAUCAGCGCGCAUCAUAGUGCGCAUGAGUCUACAGUUGAAAAGCGUGGUGACAGGUCGUGUUUCGCCGGCAGAGAUUAUCGUUUGAUUGAAGCUUCGAUGGCGGGAUGGCUUUGAAAGUUUUUGCACACAUCAUCAAAAUUAAGAAAUAAUCCAACAAUUUUCAUACAAAUAUAAUAAAUAGCUGAUUGCUGUAAUUAGUUUAGGCGGGAAAAAGGAUUUCAAUAUGGACGCCAUGAUGAUAGUUUACGAAAGAAAAAUAAAUUCUCUCAAAGAAAGGCAUAUGUAAGUAGUUUUAUGAUUUCUUUUUAUUAAAUUAUAAGUUAUAUAAUUUUCAUUUAUAAUUUGCUAUGUAUUACUUGUAAAUUAUCUUAAAAAUUUUUUGAA